rnacentral:rRNA from 1 species
UACGGAGGGUGCAAGCGUUAUCCGGAUUCACUGGGUUUAAAGGGUGCGUAGGCGGGCAGGUAAGUCAGUGGUGAAAUCUCCGAGCUUAACUCGGAAACUGCCAUUGAUACUAUUUGUCUUGAAUAUUGUGGAGGUAAGCGGAAUAUGUCAUGUAGCGGUGAAAUGCUUAGAUAUGACAUAGAACACCAAUUGCGAAGGCAGCUUACUACACAAUGAUUGACGCUGAAGCACGAAAGCGUGGGGAGCAAACAGG